AUUGAACGCUGGCGGCACGCCUAACACAUGCAAGUCGAGCGGUAGCAUGAUCUGUAGCAAUACAGAUUGAUGACGAGCGGCGGACGGGUGAGGAACACGUAGGAACUUGCCCAAUAGAGGGGGAUAACUAAGGGAAACUUUAGCUAAUACCGCAUAUUCUCGAGAGAGGAAAGCUGCCCGCAAGGGUGGCGCUAUUGGAGAGGCCUGCGUCCGAUUAGCUAGUUGGUGAGGUAAAGGCUCACCAAGGCGAUGAUCGGUAACUGGUCUUAGAGGACGACCAGUCACACUGGGACUGAGACACGGCCCAGACUCCUACGGGAGGCAGCAGUGGGGAAUCUUGGACAAUGGGGGCAACCCUGAUCCAGCGAUGCCGCGUGAGUGAAGAAGGCCUUCGGGUCGUAAAGCUCUUUAGGUUGGGAGGAAGGCUAGUAUUUUAAGAGAUGACUAGUUUGACUGUACCGACAGAAUAAGCACCGGCAAACUCUGUGCCAGCAGCCGCCGUAA
rnacentral:rRNA from 1 species